UUACUAUAUUUUAUUCAUUAUUUCUAAAUUUCACACACCAAUUAUAGUAAGGUGGUGGUUGGCUUUACCUACCAUGUGAAUAACAUCCAUGGUAGGAUUUUGAAAGGAAGCAAUCAAAAUGAAAAAUGUGAACAUAUGAUUGUGUUGCAGAAGUUUGAGAUAAAUUAGGGUUUUCUUUUUCUAUAUGUAUAGGCAUCCGUUUGGGUUGAGAAUGGACUCUCCAACGACUCUAGAAUUUGAACUUCAUUCAUAUUCCUUCCUUUGUUUGUUGAUAGAAUAGAUAAAUUAGAGUUGGCUAUUAUUUGUUUAAAAAAGAAGUUUAUUUGUAGCCAUGUGUUAGCAUCAUCCAUGUCGCACCGUAAUCAUUACUCCAUGCUCAACAUACUUUUUGGCAAGUGCAUGUUCUUACAAAGAAACAAGGAUGAGAUUGUCUUGGAUUUUAACGCAACCAACGGAACCAAAAUUGCACAAUUUAAGGUUUGAAUGCGCACGAUUAAGUGCAGUGUAUUUAACUUACUUUUUAUCUAGUGUAUUUAACUUACUUUUUAUCUUACGCUACAAUAUCAUUACAGUAUUUGAUCUCAUCGUUACUGCUAUUUUUAUACUAACUGCAAAUAUACGCACUGUCUAUCCAAAUCCA